CGAGCGAACGCGCGUCCAGGCUGGCGGCUCCGGACACCAGGCUGCAGACCACCAGCGGCAGGAUGACCAUGCGCAGCAUGCGCAGCAGCAGCUCCCCGGGGAAGGCCAGCCUCCUGGAUAGACCUGAAGAUCCUUAUCCGGUAGCUGGGAUCUGUCACUGCAGUAGCACCACACAAAGCAGCUGUGCCCACCAAAGCAUUUUUUUAUUUUCCUCACUGCAUUGAAAGCCCACUGUGACUUACUGUACCCAAAAGACCAUUGAAAAUGGUCCUCAUGUGCCUGCUCCCUGCUGUGUUGUAAUGCCCGAUGAAAAAAAGCAACAUGGUACUCCUCUUUGCCUUCAGCUGAGGCAAAAAGAAUAUUCUAUUGGCUUUCAUAAUA